rnacentral:rRNA from 1 species
CACGUAGGGGGCAAGCGUUGUCCGGAAUCAUUGGGCGUAAAGCGCGUGUAGGCGGUUCGGUAAGUCGGCUGUGAAAGUCCAGGGCUCAACCCUGGGAUGCCGGUCGAUACUGCCGGACUAGAGUUCGGAAGAGGCGAGUGGAAUUCCCGGUGUAGCGGUGAAAUGCGCAGAUAUCGGGAGGAACACCAAUGGCGAAGGCAGCUCGCUGGGACGUUACUGACGCUGAGACGCGAAAGCGUGGGGAGCAAACAGG